rnacentral:rRNA from 1 species
UACGUAGGGUGCGAGCGUUAAUCGGAAUUACUGGCGUAAAGCGUGCGCAGGCGGUUUUGUAAGUCAGAUGUGAAAUCCCCGGGCUCAACCUGGGAACUGCAUUUGAGACUGCUCUGCUCGGGUGCGGAAGAGGGAAGCGGAAUUUCCGGUGUAGCGGUGAAAUGCGUAGAUAUCGGAAGGAACACCAGUGGCGAAAGCGGCUUCCUGGUCCAGCACCGACGUUCAGGCACGAAAGCGUGGGGAGCAAACAGG